rnacentral:rRNA from 1 species
CCUACGGGAGGCAGCAGUGAGGAAUAUUGGUCAAUGGACGAGAGUCUGAACCAGCCAAGUAGCGUGAAGGAUGACUGCCCUCUGGGUUGUAAACUUCUUUUAUAAAGGAAUAAAACGAGGCACGUGUGCCUGUUUGCAUGUACUUUAUGAAUAAGGCUCGGCUAACUCCGUGCCAGCAGCCGCGGUAAUACGGAGGAUCCGAGCGUUAUCCGGAUUUAUUGGGUUUAAAGGGAGCGUAGAUGGGUUGUUAAGUCAGUUGUGAAAGUUUGCGGCUCAACCGUAAAAUUGCAAUUGAUACUGGCAGUCUUGAGUACAGUUGAGGUAGGCGGAAUUCGUGGUGUAGCGGUGAAAUGCUUAGAUAUCACGAAGAACCCCGAUUGCGAAGGCAGCUUACUAAACUGUGACUGACAUUGAUGCUCGAAAGUGUGGGUAUCAAACAGGAUUAGAUACCCGAGUAGUC